rnacentral:rRNA from 1 species
GAUCAUGGCUCAGAUUGAACGCUGGCGGCAGGCUUAACACAUGCAAGUCGAACGGUAACAUAGAGAAGCUUGCUUCUUUGAUGACGAGUGGCGGACGGGUGAGUAAUGCUUGGGAAUCUGGCUUAUGGAGGGGGAUAACUACGGGAAACUGUAGCUAAUACCGAGUAAUAUCGAAAGAUUAAAGUGUGGGACCUUCGGGCCACAUGCCAUAGGAUGAGCCCAAGUGGGAUUAGGUAGUUGGCG